GCAGGAUAGAAAGAGAAUCUGGUGUGAAGUUUGAGCACUUGUCUGCUCCCCAGCCUAUUGAUAUAGCCAGAUCUGCUGGAGCAAGUGCUGCAGAAUCAGUAACUCAAGUCUCUGACAGUGUAAUCCCACCUUUCAAGUCUGCUGCGGAGGAGAUGGUGAACAGCUCUAGUUUGUCUGCUGUGGAGCUACUUGCCAAGGCCCUUGCAAAGCUCUCUGGUUAUACCGAGAUAAAGAGUAG
rnacentral:misc_RNA from 1 species